rnacentral:rRNA from 1 species
GAUGAACGCUAGCGAUAGGCUUAACACAUGCAAGUCGAGGGGCAGCACAAGGUAGCUUGCUAUCUGGGUGGCGACCGGCGCACGGGUGCGUAACGCGUAUGCAACUUGCCCUAUACAGGAGGAUAACCCGUCGAAAGACGGACUAAUACUGCGUAUGCUCACAACUUGGCAUCAAGUGGUGAGGAAAGAAAUUCGGUAUAGGAUAGGCACGCGUCCCAUUAGCUUGUUGGUGAGGUAACGGCUCACCAAGGCAACGAUGGGUAGGGGAACUGAGAGGUUUAUCCCCCACACUGGUACUGAGACACGGACCAGACUCCUACGGGAGGCAGCAGUGAGGAAUAUUGAUCAAUGGGCGCGAGCCUGAACCAGCCAAGUCGCGUGAAGGAUGACUGUCUUAUGGAUUGUAAACUUCUUUUAUACGGGAAUAACAAGAGUCACGUGUGACUCCCUGCAUGUACCGUAUGAAUAAGCAUCGGCUAACUCCGUG